rnacentral:lncRNA from 1 species
UGGUGUUGGUGAUGGUUUGGUUUUGGGGUUGUUUUGGUGGAAAAGGUUGGUUUAGUGAUGUGGUGAAUGUUGAAGUGAGUUUUAGGAGUUGGGUUGUGGAGGUUGGUGAAGAAUUUCUGGUUUUUGGGUUAGGUUAAUGGGGGAUACGAAUUUGGGUGAUGUUGGUUUGGAUGGAUGAAAGUUGUUUCUGAAUGGGGGGUUAUGAUUG